rnacentral:rRNA from 1 species
GGCUCAGGAUGAACGCUGGCGGCGUGCUUAACACAUGCAAGUCGAACGGUGAAGCAGAGCUUGCUCUGUGGAUCAGUGGCGAACGGGUGAGUAACACGUGAGCAACCUGCCCCUGACUCUGGGAUAAGCGCUGGAAACGGCGUCUAAUACUGGAUAUGAGCUGCGACCGCAUGGUCAGCAGUUGGAAAGAUUUUUCGGUCUGGGAUGGGCUCACGGCCUAUCAGCUUGUUGGUGAGGUAAUGGCUCACCAAGGCGUCGACGGGUAGCCGGCCUGAGAGGGUGACCGGCCACACUGGGACUGAGACACGGCCCAGACUCCUACGGGAGGCAGCAGUGGGGAAUAUUGCACAAUGGGCGAAAGCCUGAUGCAGCAACGCCGCGUGAGGGAUGACGGCCUUCGGGUUGUAAACCUCUUUUAGCAGGGAAGAAGCGAAAGUGACGGUAC